UGUAAGAGGCUCAGGAACGAGGAAUUGCUAGUAAUCGCGGACUCAUUAAGACGCGAUGAAUACGUCCCUGUUCUUUGUACACACCGCCCGUCGUUAUCGAAGAUGAAGACAGGCGCGAACGAUCUUACCAGAAAGUGAGCGCAGGUCUUUAGAUCUGAUACAAGUCGUAACAAGGUAGCUGUAGGAGAACCUGUAGCUGG
rnacentral:rRNA from 1 species